UGAUAAAAAAUUUUAAUUCACUUAUACUGUUAAAAUCAUGUGUGGUUAACAAAAUAACCAGACAAUGCUACACGGCGUGUCACGUGUACCUUAUACUGAUGUAAAUAGAUCAGUUUUUAAUAGUACUAAUAGAUGAAAUUUUUAAUA
rnacentral:pre_miRNA from 1 species